UGCAGUCGACGGUGAGGAAGCUUGCUUUCUGGAUCAGUGGCGAACGGGUGAGUAACACGUGAGCCAUCUGCCCCUGACUCUGGGAUAACAGUUGGAAACAGCUGCUAAUACUGGAUACGAACUGCGAUCGCAUGGUCGGCAGUUGGAAAGAAUUUCGGUCAGGGAUGAGCUCGCGGCCUAUCAGCUUGUUGGUGAGGUAAUGGCUCACCAAGGCGUCGACGGGUAGCCGGCCUGAGAGGGUGACCGGCCACACUGGGACUGAGACACGGCCCAGACUCCUACGGGAGGCAGCAGUGGGGAAUAUUGCACAAUGGGCGGAAGCCUGAUGCAGCAACGCCGCGUGAGGGAUGACGGCCUUCGGGUUGUAAACCUCUUUUAGCAGGGAAGAAGCGGAAGUGACGGUACCUGCAGAAAAAGCGCCGGCUAACUACNUGCCAGCAGCCGCGGUAAUACGUAGGGCGCAAGCGUUAUCCGGAAUUAUUGGGCGUAAAGAGCUCGUANGNNUUUUGUCGCGUCUGCUGNGAAANCCCGAG
rnacentral:rRNA from 1 species